GGGUGGUAGCACAACGGUAGUGCAUCGGUCUCCAAAGCCGAAGGUUGCGCGUUCGAAUCGCGUCCGCCUCA